GGAACAACAGCUUGACCAAAUUGGUAUCGCAUAAAGCAUGGCUGGUCUGAAAAUUUGUUUAUAAAUUAACAAUUUGUUUUUUAGACAGAGCUUAGAAUUUCUGUUUAUAAGAGGAUAUAAACAUUUAAUAUAUUUAUUACACUUUGCCUGGAUUUCUUCAAUGUGAUCCUUGAAAGUGAGUUUUGUCUGGAUUCAUACUAUACCUAGGCACUCUAAUUCCUCCUUUCGACUCACGACGCAAAAUACACUGGUGGCGUGAUAAGACAGUUUUGGUUGUGUUGGUAAUUUUCUCACGAAAUUUAGUAUGGCGCGCCGGGAUUCAAGCAUGUAAACAUAAACAAACGAUCAUUUCAGAUCGGGAUUUCACUUUAAGUUACUCCAGUUGUCGCGCAGCCUGGCGAAUCUUUGGCACUAAUUGAAAAUCUGGACAUUUUUUCUUCAAGGGCUUGCAAGAUAACGUUGAAAUAUAGAAAAUUUUACACACAUCCGACUCUAUUCAUUUCGUUGGAGGAAGGAUUUGGCGGACCGCACUGUGGUAUCUAUUACAGUUAUUAUGGAUAAUGGAGUGAUUGUUCUGUGGGUGGCAUUUCAAAUGCAGGUGAUGAAAACGAUUGAAACAUCGGAACAAAACACCGCAUUUCACUGUCAAUAUUAUCGCAAACAGAACCAACUCUAGAUAUUUUCAUAGAAGCAACUCCCGGAACGUCAUUUGUUUAGAUUUUUUCUUCUUCACGUCUCUCUGUUAUUCCAAAAUAAAAUGACAACCGCACUAACACAUAGAAAAACGUGAUCACCAGGGUAUUUUACAUCGUGCUUUCGACUCAUCCUUUUCGCCCUGUUGAUAUUUUGCACUUGCACUGAUCACAACAUUGUUCACGAUAGACUGACAGUAGUACGACCUGCUCACACUGUUGUUACCAAACUUAACGAAAGUAGUGAGAAAUUCAGUGAGGGGUGAGAAGAGUAAAGCGAUCUCAAGCAUAAAACUAUGUUCGGAGAAAAUUUUUUAUUUGAGUAGUUAAUUAUGCGAUUUGCUCCAUCAUUUCUCAUUCCAAAUCAACCUUCGUAGAGAUAGGACUGGCCACCGUCCGUGAUUAGUAGUUUUGUGUACUUGUAGAGUGUAUUGUAGUGAAUUGUAAUUAAAUAGAAGAAUACGUGUUUAAAUAAAUGUAGUGUCGUGUUAGAAUAAAAUAAAAGUUUAAUGUGUUAUGUGUGAUGUGUAGUGUUUUAUAUUUAUCACCAAACAUUGACCAGUUUAAAAGGCACUACUACUUAGGAGCGUAAAAACGCAAAACAAAUCACCCAGAGUUGAUCGCUGUGCACGAUAAAAUCGGGGCGGACCAAAAUACUGGUGGAACACCUAUUUGGAAGUUCCGCAUCUCAAUGUAAUUUUAAAUCGCUGAAAAAACAGCUUAUCCAACUUCGUUCAAGGAUAUGCGUUAACGGACCAUGAAAUAUAUAUCCGUCUCGGGAUCUCACUUCUCUUUCGCAAAUAUCAUGAGGUGCUCACUUACCGAAUGGAAUACUAGUACAGCUUGAAUUCUCAAAGAAAAGUAGUAGUUGGCAAUUAUCUGCUAUUCGCAUGACCUCCAUUGAAAGUUAUAUAUAUAUAUAAAUAAAUUUUAUAAAACUAGUCAUAUGGUAUAUAUGAACCUAUAUAAAUAAAUUCGAAGUGAAUAUAUAAGUUUUAUGUUUCAUAAGAUUAUCUCAUAUAUUUGACAUGAUGUUGAACACAUCUUGUAACUAUUAUUGGAAAUGCUAAUAGUGCAAAAUCAUUAGAAUAUCAUAUAAUGUGAAAAAGAAAAUUUAGCUCAUUGUAUAUAAACCUAUCUAUAUUAAUUCGAAAUGAAUAUAAUAUUUGCUUCAUAAAUUGUUUCAAUGUAUGUUGUGUGGAUAUCUAGUAAUGGUUAUAGCACAGACUAACAGACAGGACACUCAAAUUAGAUUCUUUAGCCAUAUCAACGGUCAUUUCGAAUAUUCCUUUAUUUGGGACAGUACUCACAUGUGUCAUGAUGGCACCACGUUACCCUAUCAAAAACAUUCUGCCUGUCAUCUAGACUGUGUUUAUUUUUUUCAUUUACCAACCGAGUUGCCAUUCAUACAGAAUUACCUGUAAAUGUAUUGAUUUGUAUACCUCCAUGCGAAUUUCAUGCAGGAUACAGAUUAAUUACAUAUUGCCAAAACUAUAUACAGAAUUGUGCCUACUUCUCAUCCUACAACGCAAUACAAAAUCGAACCCGUUUUGUUACAAUAUUUACUUGCUUCUGGUCUGCCGUCACUUAAUUUCGGGUGAAAAUUACCAACACAAUCAAAAAUAGUCUAGAUGAACAACGUUGAGUAAAAUAAAUGUUUACCUUCCAAGAUCGCUAAAAAAGUUAAAUAUAUUAUCAACGUAAUCCAAAAAUUUAUUGUGACGAUUCAUUUUCAAAUAUUUCGAUGAAAUCAGGCAACCCUGCAAGCAGCUGAUCGGUGUUGACAAACGAGGGGAAACCAACUAGUAAAAAAACUUUUACGUAACACAAGGGGUGUACAGAUAGUAAAUUGUUCGCGCAGUACAAUAUAGGUGGAACUAGUGCAUAACGAAAAAUUAUUUUUAUAAGAAUUUACUCAUACUGUCAUGUCUGUUAGUCUGUGGUUAUAGGGUGAUGCAAUAAAUUUGACUCAGGCUAAAAAUUUCAUUCGUUAUAUGAAAAUCUUGUAAAAAUAACAUUACGAAGAGUUUUAUGUUUCAUAAAAUUAUCUCAUAUUUUUGACAUGAUGUUCAAUACACUUUGUAACUAUCAUUGGAAAUGCUAAUAGUGAAAAAUCAUUAGAACAUCAUAUAAUGUGAAAAUGAAAAUUUAGCUCAGUGUAGUUCUAAUUCAUGAACUCUACACAUAACUUUUAUUAGGUCUACACUAGGACAGGACCUGACAAUUGUUAAUCCACUUUUAGGACCAAUUUCGGACCAGCUCGUGAUUGGUUGAAAUUGACAUAAGCAAGUACAAGUUGUUGAAAUCAAUAUUACUGCAGGGUGGUAGAAAAAGUGUUGUCAGUAUCGUCGGAAUGUAGCUUGAUAUUGGAUAUUUUAUUUUUCGGAUCAUCUUGUGGUGACCACCCGGCACUACAGCCCUGAAAGAACAGCUGAUAGUUUACAGUUGACUGUUAGAUCA